rnacentral:rRNA from 1 species
CCUACGGGGGGCUGCAGUGGGGAAUAUUGGACAAUGGGCGAAAGCCUGAUCCAGCCAUGCCGCGUGUGUGAAGAAGGCCUUCGGGUUGUAAAGCACUUUCAGUGGGGAAGAAAGCCUUGGGGCUAAUACCCUCGAGGAAGUACAUCACCCACAGAAGAAGCACCGGCUAACUCCGUGCCAGCAGCCGCGGUAAUACGGAGGGUGCGAGCGUUAAUCGGAAUUACUGGGCGUAAAGCGCGCGUAGGCGGUCUGAUAAGCCGGUUGUGAAAGCCCCGGGCUCAACCUGGGAACGGCAUCCGGAACUGUCAGGCUAGAGUGCAGGAGAGGAAGGUAGAAUUCCCGGUGUAGCGGUGAAAUGCGUAGAGAUCGGGAGGAAUACCAGUGGCGAAGGCGGCCUUCUGGACUGACACUGACGCUGAGGUGCGAAAGCGUGGGUAGCAAACAGGAUUAGAUACCCUGGUAGUC